UCCUUAAAGCAACCAUGAUCCGCAUUCAAAAUCUAAGGAAUUAUAUGACCCUCAGUUUUCAAUGCAAAUAUACACAGACAUUUCUGACUCAAACCGAUCCCUGGAAUAAACAGUGGGAAUUUUAUUUCUGCGGAUUUAAUGCAGAACCAGAAACACAUUAUUAUGUAAGUGCUUUCAACAUUCCAACAGCUAAUAUUGGAGGAGACCCACCUACAAAAAGUCAAACCUUUAAAACACCAGAUUGCGAGAAUGAUAAAGUAAAGUAUCACGAGCACUGUGUUUCCAAAGG